rnacentral:rRNA from 1 species
AGUAACGGCGAGUGAAGCGGCAACAGCUCAAAUUUGAAAUCUGGCCUCUUUUGGGGUCCGAGUUGUAAUUUGUAGAGGAUGUUUCGGGUACCGCUCCGGUUUAAAUUUCUUGGAACAGAAUGUCAGAGAGGGUGAGAAUCCCGUCUUGGACCGGCGGUAGGGCCCAUGUGAAACUCCUUCGACGAGUCGAGUUGUUUGGGA